ACUCAAAUGAAUUGACGGGGGCCCGCACAAGCAGCGGAGCGUGUGGUUCAAUUCGAUGCAACACGAAGAACCUUACCAGGGCUUGACAUGUAUGUGGUAGGAAAGUGAAAGCGGACCGACCCGCAAGGGAGCAUACACAGGUGCUGCAUGGCUGUCGUCAGCUCGUGCCGUGAGGUGUUGGGUUAAGUCCCGCAACGAGCGCAACCCUCAUCGCUAGUUACAUGUGUCUGGCGAGACUGCCGGAUUAUAUCCGGAGGAAGGCGAGGAUGACGUCAAGUCAGCAUGGCCUUUAUGUCCUGGGCUACACACACGCUACAAUGGGUGCUACAGAGCGUUGCCAAACCGCGAGGUGGAGCUAAUCGCACAAAAGCGCCCUCAGUUCAGAUUGCAGGCUGCAACCCGCCUGCAUGAAGUCGGAGUUGCUAGUAAACGCGCGUCAGCUAUAGUGCGUUGAAUGCGUUCCCGGGCCUUGUACACACCGCCCGU
rnacentral:rRNA from 1 species